UACGUAGGGGGCAAGCGUUGUCCGGAUUUAUUGGGCGUAAAGAGCGUGUAGGCGGCCGGAUAGGUCGGUUGUGAAAACUGGAUGGCUCAACCUCCAGACGUCGACCGAAACCAUCCGGCUAGAGUCCGGAAGAGGAGAGUGGAAUUCCUGGUGUAGUGGUGAAAUGCGCAGAUAUCAGGAAGAACACCCGUGGCGAAGGCGGCUCUCUGGGACGGUACUGACGCUGAGACGCGAAAGCGUGGGGAGCGAACAGG
rnacentral:rRNA from 1 species